AUUGAACGCUGGCGGCAGGCCUAACACAUGCAAGUCGAGCGGAUGAGUGGAGCUUGCUCCAUGAUUCAGCGGCGGACGGGUGAGUAAUGCCUAGGAAUCUGCCUGGUAGUGGGGGACAACGUUUCGAAAGGAACGCUAAUACCGCAUACGUCCUACGGGAGAAAGUGGGGGAUCUUCGGACCUCACGCUAUCAGAUGAGCCUAGGUCGGAUUAGCUAGUUGGUGAGGUAAAGGCUCACCAAGGCGACGAUCCGUAACUGGUCUGAGAGGAUGAUCAGUCACACUGGAACUGAGACACGGUCCAGACUCCUACGGGAGGCAGCAGAGGGGAAUAUUGGACAAUGGGCGAAAGCCUGAUCCAGCCAUGCCGCGUGUGUGAAGAAGGUCUUCGGAUUGUAAAGCACUUUAAGUUGGGAGGAAGGGCAGUAAGUUAAUACCUUGCUGUUUUGACGUUACCAACAGAAUAAGCACCGGCUAACUUCGUG
rnacentral:rRNA from 1 species